GUUGGGACAGUUGCCGCUGUGCUACUGUGUUUGGUCUCUCGCUAUAUACACAGGAUUCGCUCUCGCUUUCGAUAGGAAACCCCAAACGAGUUUAAAGGCCUACAGUGCCCACCCCGUCCUGGCGCCCUCCUCUUGACCAAGAUGUUGAUGGCCGGGCGAGGCAGCGAUGCCGAUCGCACCAAAGUUCCCGCCGUCCAACCUCCUCCUACUCCUCCUCCCUACAGCACCUUUUCACAGCUACCACCGACGGCUCCCCUCGUGUACCCUCCUACGGUGCCGCAUCACCAACCGCCGCCGCAAACCACGUCUGGUUACCACGUCAUCCCAGUUGGGUACCAAUCUCAUCCGUAUCCGACUUUUGUGGAUGGGAUACCCAUGGCCAUGAGGGAUCCUCCCCUCCCUUUCUGCGGCAUUGGCAUUGGCUGGGCUUU